rnacentral:rRNA from 1 species
GACGAGCGCUGGCGGCGUGCUUAACACAUGCAAGUCGAACGGAAAGGCCCUGCUUUUGUGGGGUGCUCGAGUGGCGAACGCGUGAGUAACACGUGUGUAACCUGCCCUUGACUUUGGGAUAACUCCAGGAAACUGGGGCUCAUAUCCGAUAUGAGCUCCUGUUGCACAUUAGGGGUUGGAAAGUUGCGGCGGUUGGGGAUGGACUCGCGGUUUAUCAGCUUGUUGGUGGGGUAGUGGCUUACCAAGGCUUUGACGGGUAGCCGGCCUGAGAGUGUGACCGGCCACAUUGGGACUGAGAUACGGCCCAGACUCCUACGGGAGGCAGCAGUGGGGAAUAUUGCACAAUGGGCGGAAGCCUGAUGCAGCAACGCCGCGUGCGGGAUGACGGCCGUCGGGUUGUAAACCGCUUUCGCCUGUGACGAAGCGUGAGUGACGGUAAUGGGUAAAGAAGCACCGGCUAACUACGUG